rnacentral:lncRNA from 1 species
CAGGCGCCUGUAGUCCCAGCCUCGGGAGGCUGAGGCAGGAGAAUGGCGUGAACCCAGGAGGCGGAGCUUGCAGUGAGCCGAGAUGGCGCCACUGCACUCCAGCCUGGGCAACUAAGCAAGACUCCGUCUCCAAAAAAAAAAAAAAAAAAAAAGUUUGGGGGGUGUUACUUAUCUUUUCAUGAUUGAGUUGCAAGGGCUCUUUAUAUAGUCUAGAUACAAGUUCCUCAUCAGGUAUAUGAUUUGCAACUACAGUAUCUUCUCCCAUUAGUGGGUUGUCUUUUCCCUUUCUUAAAAAGCUUUUUUGAGACAUGGUCUUGCUCUGUCGCCCAGGCUAGAGUGCAGUGGUACAGUCGUAACUCACUGCAGCCUCAAACUCCUGGGCUUAAGCAAUCCUCCCACCUCAACCUUCCAAGUAACUAGGACUACAGGUUUGCAUUACCACAUCUGGCUAAUUUUUUAAUUUUUUUGUAGAGCAAGCCCCUUGCUAUGUUGUCCAGGCUGGUCAUGAACUCCUGGGCUCAAAUGAUCCUCCUGCUUCAGCCUCCCAAAGCGCUAGGAUACAGGUGUGUACCACCUCGCCUGGCCUCUCUUCACUUUCUUGAUAGUGUCUUUCGGAGCACAAAAGUUUUUUAGUUCUGGCCGGGUGCAGUGGCUCACGCCUGUAAUCCCAGUACUUUAGGAGGCCAAGGCAGGAGGAUCACUUGAGGUCAGGAGUUCAAGACCAGCCUGGCCAACAUGGUGAAACCCCAUCUCCACUAAAAAUACAAAAGUUAGCCAGGCGUGGUGGCAUGUGCCUGUAAUCCUGGCUGCUCGGGAGGCUGAGGCAGGAGAACCCAGGAGACAGAGAUUGCAGUGAGCCAAGAUCGCGCUACUGCACUCCAGUCUAGGUGACAAAGUGAGAGUCCAUCUCAAAAAAAAAAAAAAAGUUAUUUAGUUCUGAUGCAAUUCAAUUGAUGGAUUUUUUCCUUUUGUUACUUUGUGAGCCUGUUUUUGAACCACAGCUGACCUCAGAGCCCUGAGGCAUCUCUCCAUGCUGAGAAGCAGUUACACCUUACGAUUAUGAGCAUGGACCCUGGAGCUGGAUGGCUAGCAUUCAAAUCCCAGUUUACUUACCUGUGGUCUUGGGGAAGUUUUAUUUAUUUAUUUUUUUUGAGACAGAGUUUCACUCUUGUUGUCCAGGCUGGAGUGCAAUGGCACGAUCUCGGCUCACCGCAACCUCCACCUCCCAGGUUCAAGCGAUUCUCCUGCCUCAGCCUCCCUAGUAGCUGGGAUUACAGGCAUGUGCCACCAUGCCCGGCUAAUUUUGUAUUUUUAGUAGAGAUGGGGUUUCUCCAUGUUGGUCAGGCUGGUCUCGAACUCCUGACCUCAGGUGAUCCGCCCGCCUCGGCCUCCCAAAGUGCUGGGAUUACAGGCAUGAACCACCACACCCGGCAGUCUUGGGGAAGUUGCUUAAACUUUCUGUGCUUCAGUUUCCUCAUCUAGAAAAUGGGGAUAAUGAUGUCUGCCUCAUAGGCUUGCUCUGAGGUUCAAAUAUGUAAAUUCAUGUAAAGUACUUACAACAACCUCCAAAUUGUAUAAACAGUAUAAUUGAUAGAACACAAAUUAUGAAUUCAGUACAUAGAUUUAGCACUGUAUAAAUGCAUGCUGUAAUUAUUGUGGCACUUGCUAUAAUAUCGUUAUUGUUAUAGUAUUUUCCGUUGUUGUUGUACAAGUAUCUUCUAUAGUAUUGUUGCUGUUUAUCUUCCAACUUGGAAGGUGAGUAUGGGCCAGGUGGGGUGGCUCAGGCCUGUAAUCCCAGCACUUGGGAGGUUGAGGAGGGAAGAUCGCUUGAGGCCAGGAGUUUGAGACCAGCCUGGGCAACAUAGUGAGGCCCCUGUCUCUAUAAUAUAAAAAUUAAAUUAAAAAAAAAAUUUAAAAAAGAAGGUGGCUGGCCAG